UUCUCUCAUAAGAGAGCGACCAUUCUCAACUUAUUCUUUCACUCUUUGUCUGAAAAAUAUUAUGAAUAAAAUAAUUCAAAAUACAACUUUCAACAACGGAUCUCUUGGCUCUCGCAUCGAUGAAGAUCGCAGCGAAAUGCGAUACGUAAUGUGAAUUGCAGAAUUCAGUGAAUCAUCGAAUCUUUGAACGCAUAUUGCGCUCUUUGGUAUUCCGAAGAGCAUGCUUGUUUGAGUAUCAGUAAACACCUCAAAGACUUCUAUUUGUUUUGGAUGGCUUUGGACUUGAGCAUCCCAACACCUUUCUUUACGAUCGGAGGAGGGUUGUUUGAAAUGCAGGUGCAGCUGGAUUUCUCCUGAGCUAAAAGCAUUUUAUUAGUCCCGACCACGGAUUAUUACUUUUGCUGCACUAAAUAAAGGGGUUUGACCGUAUUGGCUGACUGAUGCAGGAUUUCACAGGUCGGAACGAUUCUUGUAAAACUCGAUCUCAAAUCAAGUAAGACUCCCGCUAACUUAAGCAUAUCAAUAAGGCGGAAGGAAASUUC
rnacentral:rRNA from 1 species